GAUGAACGCUGGCGGCGUGCCUAAUACAUGCAAGUCGAGCGAACAGACGAGGCUCUUGCCCCUCUGUCGUUAGCGGCGGAGGUGUGAGUAACAUGUGCAUAACCUACCUAUAUGACUGGGAUAACCUCGGAAAACCGGAGCUAAUACCCGAUAAUAUAUUGCACUGCAUGGUUCUAUAGUGAAAGACGGUUUUGCUAUCACUCAUAGUUCGAUCCGCGCCGCCUUAGCUAGUUGGUAAGGUAACGGCUUACCAAGGCAUCGAUGCGUAGCCGGCCUGAGUGAGUGCUCAGCCACUCUCUGACUGCGACACGGUCCUGACCCCUACGGGAGGCACCCGUAGCGGAUCUUCCUCGAUGGGCGUGAUCCUGACGUAGCUACGUCGCGUGAUUGCUGCAGGUCUUCGGAUCGUAAGCCCCUGUUAUUAGGCACGCACAAAAGUGUAAGCAGCUAUGCACGUCUUGACGGUUCCUGAUCAGACAGCCACGGCUAACUUCGUG
rnacentral:rRNA from 1 species